UCAUCCGUCAGGGUACCUGGUUCAGUGCUAGUAUUCAGUGACCAUUAACAUAUUGACAGGGGUACUUGGUUCAGUGGUACUAUUCAGUGAUCCAUCAACAUACUGACAGAGGUACUUGGUUCAGUGGUGGUAUUCAGUGAUCCAUCAACAUACUGAGAGAGUGAGUUUUAUUUCCUUUACAAGUUUACUUCGCUCACACGGUUCAGAUGCUCUAUGUUAAUACCGCUCAAGACAAUUAAGGCAUGGCUCUCACUUUAUUGCACCAAAAAAUUAGAGAGGUGGUCUAUCUUCUAAGGCUUUAAUCACACUAACCUAAAGCUUUUUUAGAUUAGUGGGUUUAAAAAUUUUGUCUUAUAUAUCGGGAUGAUAUAUGCAACUUAGGUCGUGUGACUUCUUACGGCCAGCAACUUUCAAAAAAACCUUCGAGCGAAAAUGGCACCAGUUUACAUCAGCAUUCAUUUCUAGUGUAUAUGAAACGAAUUUUUUUUUUCGGUUUUUGUUCUUUUGAUAUGUGUAAAAAACUAUUCUGAGCUUACAACAGCUUUAAAAUGUUGUUGAGCCACUUUUUUGCGUUCAAAACUACUGCUAUUCCUGCCUGAAAAUUGUCACAAGGACAUUAUAUUACAUGAAGCCAUCUUCACUCCUGAUGGGAAGCGUAGGGCAUCAACCAUGGACCUCCACCUGGCUCUAUUUUUGGCAGUUCUCUUUGCCUCUAUUCAAUUGAUGUUCUUCUUGGCGAGCUCUUCUUACACACUUUGCCUCCAAGAUUGCUUUGGGCGGCCUCUUCGUCUGAACCCCUGAGGGUUCCACUCGAGGGCGGAAUGGGUGAUGUUAUUCUCAGGCUUUCGUAGCGAAUGCCCGAUCCAUUUCCACUUUCUUCUCUUAAUGCGUUCUUCUAUACGACUUUGUGGAGUCCUUUCCCAUAGUUCUUCAUUUGAGAUGACCUCUGGCCAACAGAUAUUCAGGAUCUUCCUUAAACGCCUGUUGAUAAAUGUCUACAAUUUGUUGAUCAGCAGUUUCGUCGAUCUCUAGGUUUCCGAACCAUACAGAGGGGCAGACUUCACGUUCGUACUGAAAAUCCUGAGCUUUGUUUACAAUCUGAUACAUUAAUUUUUCCUUCCACACAGACAUAACCAUCGAGGAUGUCAAUUGCGCUUUCCUUAUCCUCGCUGUUAUGUCCUCGUCAGUUCCGCCAGUUUCAUUGAUGAUGCUUCCCAAAUACGUGAACUCGGACACUCUUUCAACAGCUUUCCCAUGACGUUCCAGUGAUUCUUGGUGCCUCACGCCAGUUCGAUCUCCUUUGUUUUUUGGACGUUAUUUUUGAGCCCUACCUGACCACCAGACUCUUGCAAUCUUUCUGCUUUCGCUGUCAUAUCAACCAGUCGGUGUGUUAGUGACCAAAGAUCGUCAGCAUAGUUCAAGUCUUCUAGGCGUUGGGUCAGUGACCACUGGAGUCCCAAACGUUUACCCUCAUAUGCCUUCUUCGACACCCAGUCAAGUACCACAAGGAACAGCAAUGGCGAAAGGGCAUCACUGUCUCACGCCGGUCUUGACAUUGAUCGGCUUGGUUAUAGUUCCUCCAUGAAGCACUUGGCAAGUAAAGCUCUGAUACUUAGGUAUACCGUAAUGACGAAGAAUCCUCCAUAUAGCCUCCCUAACCAGAGAAUCAAAAGCUUUCUCACGGAUAACAAGUACAGGGGGGAUGAUCACUCGAUUGUUUGUUCUACAAUAAUCCUCAGUGUGGCAAUUUGAUCGAUGCAAGAACGAUCCUUUCUAAAUCCCGCCUGCUCGUCUCUCAGAGCUUCGUCAACAGCGACCUUCAUUCAUGACCCGGGUUACGACUUUGUUGGGUAUUGAGAGCAACAUUAUUCCCCUUCAGUUACCACACAAACUAAGGUCACCUUUUCUUGCCAGCUUUACUAGAAGACCUCUCUUCCA
rnacentral:lncRNA from 1 species